rnacentral:rRNA from 1 species
UGGGUGGAUUAGUGGCGAACGGGUGAGUAACACGUGAGUAACCUGCCCUGGACUCUGGGAUAAGCGUUGGAAACGACGUCUAAUACCGGAUAGGACCCUGGACCGCAUGGUUCGGGGUGGAAAGUUUUUUCGGUCUGGGAUGGACUCGCGGCCUAUCAGCUUGUUGGUGAGGUAAUGGCUCACCAAGGCGUCGACGGGUAGCCGGCCUGAGAGGGUGACCGGCCACACUGGGACUGAGACACGGCCCAGACUCCUACGGGAGGCAGCAGUGGGGAAUAUUGCACAAUGGGCGAAAGCCUGAUGCAGCAACGCCGCGUGCGGGAUGACGGCCUUCGGGUUGUAAACCGCUUUUAGUAAGGAAGAAGGGGAGCUUGCUCCUUGACGGUACUUGCAGAAAAAGGACCGGCUAACUACGUGCCAGCAGCCGCGGUAAUACGUAGGGUCCGAGCGUUGUCCGGAAUUAUUGGGCGUAAAGAGCUCGUAGGCGGUUUGUCGCGUCUGCUGUGAAAUCUGGAGGCUCAACCUCCAGCCUGCAGUGGGUACGGGCAGACUAGAGUGCGGUAGGGGAGAAUGGAAUUCCUGGUGUAGCGGUGGAAUGCGCAGAUAUCAGGAGGAACACCGAUGGCGAAGGCAGUUCUCUGGGCCGUAACUGACGCUGAGGAGCGAAAGCGUGGGGAGCGAACAGGAUUAGAUACCCUGGUAGUCCACGCCGUAAACGUUGGGCGCUAGAUGUGGGGACCUUUCCACGG